rnacentral:rRNA from 1 species
AGUGAACGCUGGCGGUAGGCCUAACACAUGCAAGUCGAACGGCAGCACAGUAAGAUCUUGCUCUUACGGGUGGCGAGUGGCGGACGGGUGACGAAUGGAUCGGAAUCUACUUUUUCGGGGGGGAUAACGUAGGGAAACUUACGCUAAUACCGCAUACGACCUACGGGUGAAAGCAGGAGAUCUUCGGACCUUGCGCGAUUGAAUUAGCCGAUGUCGGAGUAGCUAGUUGGCGGGGUAAAGGCCCACCAAGGCGACGAUCCGUAGCUGGUCUGAGAGGAUGAUCGGCCACACUGGAACUGAGACACGGUCCAGACUCCUACGGGAGGCAGCAGUGGGGAAUAUUGGACAAUGGGCGCAAGCCUGAUCCAGCCAUACCGCGUGGGUGAAGAAGGCCUUCGGGUUGUAAAGCCCUUUUGUUGGGAAAGAAAAGCAGCAGGUUUAUACCCCGCUGUUCUGACGGUACCCAAAGAAUAAGCACCGGCUAACUUCGUG